UCCAUUCAUCAGUCUAACAAUGGCAGGAAAGAAGCUCUUUCUGAAUCUGUUGGUGCAUGUGUUUCCUGAUUCUGUAUCUUCUGCCUGACUAAAGAAGUUGUGAGAGAGCAUUAGGGGGUUGGAUGAGAAUUUGAUGAUGUUGGCAGCAUUUCUCCAGCAAAGAGAAGUGUAGGUGGAGACCAUGGAUGAUGGUGAGAACACUCAAACAACCCACCGUGGAGUUUGCAUUGCUGACAGAAAGCCGUUUGUGUUCAGCAGCAGCUUAGUCAUUCACGCACUAGGUGCUGUGAGAUUAAAAGUACGGACAGCCAUGAGGAACCAGAGGUAUUUCCAACCGACAUUCAAACUGAUCAAUCUAAACCUUGAAGUCUCAAACGAAAUCUAGAAGUUCACUUCGCCAAAAGCUAAUGGAGGCAUCCUCAUAAAAUUACCAGAUAUACUUGGAAUCCUGAGAAGAAUUCAAGUCAAUCCUGGAAAGAUAUUGCAUGUCUUGGACUAUUCCCGGAAAGUGAAUGAACUAUCAAGAUUCAUAUAAAGAUUUGUGGGAACUAUGGCAGGGAAGGAAAGAAAACUAGAUUUACAAUUUAAUGCCAUACAUACUAUUCUGC